AGGAGGAACAACCGCAGUGGCGGGGCCAGCUCUGCAGCCCUGGAGUCAGCCCCCGCAGUAACUCCCGAGCUCUCUGUCUGCAGGGCCUGGAGGCUCCGGGCGGGG
rnacentral:pre_miRNA from 1 species